UGUCCAUUUUUAUCGAAUACGAUCAUCAUAAUUAUUGUAAAAUUUCUUUGGUAGCCUGUAAGAAGGCACCUUCAGUAAUUUUAACCAGUAUUUUAUAGCUCUGAUAUUUGGAAACAACUGCAAAAUGU